rnacentral:rRNA from 1 species
GACGAACGCUGGCGGCGUGCUUAACACAUGCAAGUCGAACGGUGAUGCUCCAGCUUGCUGGAGUGGAUCAGUGGCGAACGGGUGAGUAACACGUGAGCAACCUGCCCCAGACUCUGGAAUAAGCGCUGGAAACGGCGUCUAAUACUGGAUACGAAACUGGCCCGCAUGGGCAUGGUUUGGAAAGUUUUUCGGUUUGGGAUGGGCUCGCGGCCUAUCAGCUUGUUGGUGAGGUAAUGGCUCACCAAGGCGACGACGGGUAGCCGGCCUGAGAGGGCGACCGGCCACACUGGGACUGAGACACGGCCCAGACUCCUACGGGAGGCAGCAGUGGGGAAUAUUGCACAAGGGGCGAAAGCCUGAUGCAGCGACGCCGCGUGAGGGAUGACGGCCUUCGGGUUGUAAACCUCUUUCAGCAGGGAAGAAGCGAAAGUGACGGUACCUGCAGAAGAAGCACCGGCUAACUACGU